GGCUGCUCCUGUGUCCAGCCUUGCCAAUCAGGCCGGCCUCCACAUGCUGGAGGCGCCGCUGAUUGCUCUCCAGGUUCCCCAAGAUCAUGCAGCAGGUACUUAGCCAGCUACCAUUGUGAAUGAAUGGCAGACUCGCCCCCGGCUGUUUGUAACAAAACUGGAAGUUUGAAACUCUUGCUUUGUUCAUGGUUUGGCGUACCUACCCUGGCGGUGUGUGCGUGUUCUUGCAAAUAAGGUCUAUGGCCCAUUUACAUAUAUUUGAUGCUCUUAGAUGGACAUGAAAACACUUGCUUGUAGAUUUGGCGCCACUAUAUUUUAGGUCCAUGUUCUAACUGUCAAUAAUAUGGCACUACACUUGGUUUUAUCUCCUGUUUUUUAGAGUUCGAUGAAAAACUGCCACACCAAAGUUGGUUGCUUCUAGGUGCUAUUGUAUAGUGAAUGAUAACUGAUUUAUAGUCCUGAGAUGUUUAUUUGUGUUCUCUUCCCAAACAUAGCUACUGUUUUAAUUUUGAUUUGGUCGCUAUUAUGAUUGCUUAAGCUUCAUCAUGUUCCCUCUUCUUUUCAGAAAAAGAACAUUUAGCUUAUUCUUUGUGGUUGUCUAAUCUUCCAUAACCUCGGCUUGCGCAACCGUUGCAGUUGUCGUCACCUCUUCUUGGUUCAGGUGAGCCCUUGAUCUCCCUCCCUCUUUUUCACUGAGAUAGUCUGCCAAAUUUUGAAUGUUGAUUCAGUGUUCAGAUCUCCGGUGGUUUUCUUCUGGCCACCACAAUCAUGUGAGCUUGCUGGAUUUUUGUCCCUAUGAGCUGGCCGAAUUGAUUAUUUCAAAAUGGUAAGGAUUUUUGGCAGUCAAGGGCUUAGUUGGAUUGAAAAUGUGAAAUCUAAGCCCUUUGACAAAUUAAAUGUUGUCUCUCGACUAUGGAGCAAAAUUAUAUGAUUUGGUCUUUGUUUGUUAUCUUGUCACGUAGUUGGACGAAAUGGGAACUUCCCUAUCUGCUAAAUCGAGCACGCAUUGCAUUAGCUUCAUUGAGUAAGUGCCAUAUCGAGCGAAGCAGAGCAGGAGCUUGCUCUUGUCUUGGCGCUAUUUUUGGUACUGCUAUCGCGUCAUGUUUAUUUGGUUACGGUCACCAUUGAUGAACAGUUCAUCUACAGUUUGAAAUAAGUUCGGGUCAGAACACUGGUUUUUUUCCCUUGCAUUUUUGGUUCAAAAAGUACCAGUUUGAUUAGCUGCAGUUCGUAUUUGUACUAUAUAGAACACAUAUUAAUAAAUUAGCUCAAUGGAAUAAGCGCGUAACCAAGCUAAGGGUAGCAGGGCUUGCACUUGUCUUGUUGCUAUAUUUGGUACUGCGAUGGUGUCAUGUUCAGUUAGUUACUAUCACCAUCGAUCAACUAGAUUCCAUUUGCAUUUUGAAACUAGUUUUGAUAAAGAACACUGAUACCUGUAGUAUUUUUGGUUGAAAAAGCACCAGCAUGAUAGGGCAGUGGAGUUCUAAUUCUUGAGUGACACACUGUGACAGUGUGACCGCAUUAUGGAAUUUUUUUAACCUGUUAUGCCAAUGCCUCUUCACUGUUUGAUAUCUAACCGUGUACUUAUUUUGAUGUCCUUUGUAACAGAAUUUACCCAGAAAUGCCCUUUUAGCAUGGAAAAAUAAAUUUCAUUCUACGCUCUCAACUAUACAUGUAGUGAGAAUGAUGAACAUCUUUGUUCUUGUUGUUGUUGCCUACAGCACGUGCCACUUGGUCUGGUGCAGGGCAGGGUGAUGCAUGUGGCGUAGCUGCCCAGCAAGAUGGGCCUCGUCGACAAGAGGUGCAGGAAGGAACGAUCAUAUGGUCAUUGUUGUGAUUGCGGAUGCUCACCAAGAUCACAUCGCCCAAAGCAUGAAUUUCUGGACCUCACCAUCUAUUCCUCGGUCCAGGCAAGUUUGUGGUCUCCUCCUCCCCCCCUCUCUCUCUCUCNNNNNNNNNNNNNNNNNNNNNNNNNNNNNNNNNNNNNNNNNNNNNNNNNNNNNNNNNNNNNNCACACACACAGAGAUACACAUACACAUACGUGCACCCCUAGAUUGUCAGUCAUCUGAGUCGUGGUUGAUCGUGGUUCGGGCCAUCGAGCCAAUGAUUAGUGUUUGGAUCUACGGUGGCAUUCUUGUGUGACUGGUUGAUCAUCUUUCUUGUUGAUGAGACUGGUACCUUGUAUUUUUGUGCUGGGUCCUGUUUAGCACUUCAUGCUACACGGUUUGGUAAUGUCAUGCUUAGUUUUGAUAGAUAGGAUCCAUCCUUACUUAUUUUGGGAUUUUGACUUGUUGGUGGUUUGCUAGAAUCAAAUAGAAGAAAAUGCUUACUUGGUGUAGUGUGGCUGGUGCAUAGAUAGAUAGAACAAGUGCCAUCCUCGUGUACUUUUGAGGGAGCCAUCAUGUGUUGGCAAUAUUUAUGAUAAGUCGUGGAUGCUUUUGCCCAUGAAGAGUGGAUAUUAUUCUGGCUUUGGAACUACCUUUUUUAUCAGUCUAUUCAUGAUUGAGUCCAGACUUUUUUUUGGUUGUAUGAAAUGUUAGCCUGCAUUUGCUUAGGUUAGGACAACAUGUGUUUUGUGUUUUUCUGUAAACAAAUGUUUUGUGAUUUUUCAGAGUGAAUGUCUACUUGGGGUAACAACCUUCUUAACAAGAGCCUUUCUGGUCAAAUUCCACAAUCCUUGACAUAUUUGAUCUUGUAGGCGUCAAAAUUUUUGUGGCAUUGAGCCGUUAUACAAGUGCUGAGGUUAUUUGCAUUUUGUAAAAGCUAGCUUUUGGUUAUUUGUUAUGUUGCAUCGCUCUGCUGUUGGCUGAAAUGGUGUGUUGUGAGUGUCGUGUCCAAAGCAAAGCAAUUUGUCAAGUAGAGAGAAUAAUUUUUCUGGGCUGGCUUAUGAUCUUCGCCUAUACAAAGGGAUAGUGUAUUUGUUGGUUGGAAAAAGUGAUGCAUACCAUUGGUACUUUGCUUUUGUCAGGACCCCGACUCAAUGCCACAUCGAUCCAGCAUGUAACACUUCAUAUCACUUUGCGGCCUCACGCACGGUAUUCCCACGGGUGUCGCCUUACCUUUACCCGGGAUCGUUUGCGUCUUUUGGCACACGUAUAUGAUAAUGUCGCUAGCAUCCAUAUGAUAAGGAGCCCGGGCUGACAUGGCUAUUCGUAAACCCAAAGUGGCACAAACUUACAGGGACAGACAUCCAUGACCCAGCAUCGAACGUGUCGGUCAUCAGCGAGUGAAUCCAGGCUGUAGCACUGGGCUAGCAGGACUUCGGUGAACCAGGCUGUAGCGGGCUAACAGGACUCCGGUAUUCAUCGCGUGACAUUUCCCCGAAGGGACAGACACAGGAACGAAGAAGGACACAUGCCGGCCAGCCUAAGUGUUUCGGAGCAGUAGCAAGCUACCAUGGCUCGGUGGAAACACUAGGAGACAUUUCCCGGUAAGAGAGGCUACUAAAGAUAAACAACUAGAUAGUCAGAUCCCACACAUAUCAAGCAUUUCAAUAACAUACACACAAUAUGCUCGAUAUGUGCAAUACAACAUGGCAUCACAAAAUGACUCUACGACUCAAGUAGUUUAUUCAAUAGGCUUCGAGGAGCGAGACAUUACAAACAUGGGUCUCAUGACCCAACAAUCAGAGCAUACAAGUCAAAGCACAAGCGGAAGCUAUCAUGUCUGGGUACAGACAUCUAUAAAUGAAAAAGGCUGAGAAGCCUGACUAUCUAUCAGAUCCUGCCGAGGGCACAAGAUCGUAGCUGAGGUAACAAGCUAAACGUCGAAGUCCACGUGGAACUACUAGUGAGACUGAAGUCUCUCUGCAAAAACAUAAAAUAGGCAAACGUGAGUACAAAUGUACCCAGCAAGACUUACAUCAAAACUAACUACAUAUGCAUCAUUUUCAACAAGGGGAUGGUGGGGUUUAACUGCAGCAAGCCAGCUUUGACUCGGUGGCUAUCCUAAACUACGACUGCAAGCGACUCUUUUGAGGUGGCGCACACGAGUCCACAUAUUCACCAUAUCAAUACACCACUAUGGAUCCGCUCCCGUCUCCCUAUGAGAACGCCAUCCAUAGCACUCACGCUUAUCUUGCGUAUUUUAAAGUAUCCACUUUCACUUGUCUAUGAACUGAUAUAAACAACCAAGUAGUCCUUUACCGCGGACGCGACUAUUCGAAUAGAUCAUGAUAACCCUGCAGGGGUGUACUUCUUCAUACAUGUUUCCACCACUUAGCGUCUGCACACGACAUGUGCUCGGCAGACUUCAAGCUACCGCAACAAGUAACAGAUGAAUCGAUGUUGUCCUAAUGCAGUAAAAGAGAGCAGGAGCGAGAGAGUGGGAUUGUAUCGGAAUGAACAAGGGGGUUUUGCUUGCCUGGCACUUCUGAAGAUAAUAUUGAGUCUUCAUCAGUGUCAACGAUCACAUCAUCGGUAUCACGUCUAUCGAGAGGGGACAAAUACCGGCAACACAGAAGGGAACACAAUCAAUGCAAUGCACAAUAUGAUGCAUGAUCAUGACAUGGCAAAAUGAAUGUGUUUUGAGCCAAUGCAACUAGCAACAGAUUAAAUGAAGUUGGUUUGAAUACAAGAUUCAAAUUCAAACUCCAUAUGUGAUUAUUUAAAUGCCCUUUAUUUGAUUUGUGCUAAACAGCAACUAUAAGUUGUUCUAACAUGCAUGAAAAUGGUACAGAUGGAUUCCUUGAAUUUUACUGAUAAUUUUUCAUAUAUAAAUUAUUUAAUUUGGAGUUACGGUUGAAUUUCUAUGAAUUUUAGAAGUUUAUACAAUUUUCUGGAAUUUAUAAAUCAUUUCCUAAUUUAUUUUAAUUCCAGAAAGGAAUUAUUGCGUCAGCAUGACCUCAUCCUGACGUCAUCAGGUCAACAGGGCGGGUCCAGGUCAAACNNNNNNNNNNAGAUACCUGGUAUUUCUCUCCUUCCCCACUUUAAGCACAAAGAACAACUUCAGAGGCACAUUGUGCGCUUGCACUUAUUAUUUUUACUGUAUUGUCAGUUCGGUGUUUGUGAGAUAGGCAUUGCUAACUUGCAACUUGUGAACCGGUUUACUCCUUGUCUGUCUCUCUCGGCCCUUGUAUCUUGAUUUUACAUGUACCAGUAGACAUCACUUCUGUUAUUUAGAUACAAGUUUUGUGUUUGGACAUGUGAAUUUUCUCUCACUACUUGAAGGUUUCAUGUGGAAUUUCCGAGAGUACCAAACCAACUCCUAGUUUUUCACCCUUCUGUCAGUCCUUGUAUCUAAAUUAACUGCAACUAUUUUCUGCAAGGAACUGCAUUAAGCAAGAACACAAACCCCUGUCUCCACCACAUAUAUUUCUCAUUGUCAAAGGAAGGUCAUCUUUAGAAAUCUGAAGUCAUGGCUGCCUGUUAGGGUGUCUUUGGAUCCUAAGCAAUUGUAGUGUUAGCUUGCUUAGCAAGGAAAUCUGUUUGGUAAAAGCUAAACUAACCUGGCAAUUCCAUCUAGCCUGCACACGCUAGAAAAGCCUUGCCCCAGCAGGAGGGCCAAUUUGGCUCUCCGUUGGUAAUAAAUGAGUGGAAGAAAGAAAUCAAGGUAACUGCCACUGGAAUUGUGCUUAACCAAGGAGAUUGGUAGCUGAACCAAAUAGCUGGCUUUGCCCACGUAGGCUGUAGCUCAAAAGCCUUGGUUAGCUCGGCAUUGACGGCAAAAGAUAUAAACACACCCUCAAUGACAUCACUCCCUCUAAUUCACAAGUGCUGUUUGGACAUUAGCACGCUCCACACCGUAACUUCGACAAGCAAUUUCUGCUAUCAUGCAUACAUUUAAAUUUUUUCUGAGUGGACAGAGUACCAUAUGUUGACUUAGGUGAACAUUUCUGGUUUGUGCAAUAUAUUUAGUUGCCGAGUUGAUCGAUUAGAUUUAGAUAGAAAGCGUCCAAAUACGAAGAAAAUUGCUGAGCCAUUAAACUGUUUUCUGGAGAUCAAAGUCACCAAGUAUUCUAUGGAGGGCUCGCAGAAUGGCGCCUGUACAGAAAUGAGUUGACUUUGUGUUGUUAUCCGGCUUGUUUAGUUCGUUGACCUAUUUGUGUUUAUUGAUCCAUAUUUAAAUGUUCUCAAUUCACAGUCAACAGGAGGUUGGAUGAGUGGGUUAAACUUGAACAACCUGCUCUCUCUCACGUUGCUCUUCACCUUUGUUUGAAUUCGUUUUGCAUCGUUUGGUAGAACCGGGAUGAAUUUUGAUUAAGUUGUUUGCCCUUUCUUUGUGUUGUGUUCAAUUUCAUCACUGAUUUCCUUGUUAGUACCACUACUUGUUUCUGCGACUAUUCUAAUUGCAGACGACGACAUCAGCAUCCCUACAGAUCUGAAGCGGCCCAUCCUUAAUGGUUUCUACCGCCAUAUCUACCAACCCCGACCGGAUUUAUCAUUGCAUGGGAUCUCUCCUUAUCCGACGCUCACUCUGACGCAUCUGGCAUAGGUAAGCCACUGGUUCCUCCUCUGGUCACCCUCAUGCUCCGUGUAACCAUGGCCACCGAGUUGUGAUGAUUUUUUUUGUACACGAAUGAGAUAAUUUAUGUGUUCCAAACAUUGUGCACAGAUCAUUCUUAUAUUUGCUUGAAUUGGGAAACCCAAUCAAAUCAUCUUCUUUUGUGCUUCCUAUUUGCUGAUCCAUCGUAUGGGUGUACUGUGUAUGUAUGUAAAGGAGAUGGAGAAAGAUAGGAGUUGUAGCUUUUAGAAAUCUUGGUAUUGAUGGGGAAAGAUAGUGAUCACAGUUUCUUUGUUGGAAAGUGUCCAAACUUUUUUUCCCGGAAAUAUAAAUAUGAAUAAAGACAUUGUAUUUCUGUUACCAAAUAAAAAUCAUCUCCUUUUGUGUUUUUUAUGGCUGAUCCAUUUUAUGGGUGUUUUGUGCUUGCAUGUAAAGGGAAUGGGGAAAGAUGGGAGUACUAGCUUUUAGAAACACAUUUACUUAUUGGAAUUCCAGUAUUAAUGGGGGAAGAUAAUAAUCACUGUGUCCAGGUUAGAAAGCUUCCAAUUACGAAGAAAAUAGCCAGAGCUAUUAAACAUUUUUCUGGAGAUUCAAUUCACCUAUUAUAUUUCUGUUCCUCCGAUACUGCUACGUUCUUUUCAUGAUUGGUAACUACAAGUGUUCCCUUUUUGAUUAACAGAAGUGAUUGCAAAGGAGCUGGAUGUGCAGGGCCAUGGAAUCCCGAUGACAGUGGCCAACAUCACCUACAUAGGCAUGAACGACCUCCAUGCUGUUGGCGGCCUUGGCACGCUACUGUUCUACCUUUAUCUCCUGGAGGUCAAGAUGGAUGUUGACAUUCCCAACACUGUUCAGGGUAAUUCAUUCAUUCAUGCCCCAUACUUGGCAUGCUAUUGUUCUAACUUUAUCUCCUGGAGGUCAAGAUGGAGGUCAAGGUGGAUCGGCAGGAGCUAGAAGUAAGGUUAUCUCCUUUUUCUUCCAUUCCGAAGAUGGUUGCCAUUUAUACAUUUCAAGUUAGUAGCUAUUCCAUUGUAUCACAAUAGAGAAGUAAUUUGGUUGCGUGAAAAACAUCUAGGUUUCUCACUGGAGCGGAACUCCUUUGCACGGAGUCUCAUAACGCAGACUCAUCCCUGAAAGCACUAUGACAGCACUCAGGUUCAAUCAUGUGUUGCCCCCUGAAGGUCGGUUGCGUGCUUGAUCAUCCUGUCACAUCACAUAUAUUCAUGUUGGCAUUGUGUGGGCCUAACAAAAAAUGCUUGGUUUGCUACAAUUUUAGGCUGCUCCUGUGUCCAGCCUUGCCAAUCAGGCCGGCCUCCACAUGCUGGAGGCGCCGCUGAUUGCUCUCCAGGUUCCCCAAGAUCAUGCAGCAGGUACUUAGCCAGCUACCAUUGUGAAUGAAUGGCAGACUCGCCCCCGGCUGUUUGUAACAAAACUGGAAGUUUGAAACUCUUGCUUUGUUCAUGGUUUGGCGUACCUACCCUGGCGGUGUGUGCGUGUUCUUGCAAAUAAGGUCUAUGGCCCAUUUACAUAUAUUUGAUGCUCUUAGAUGGACAUGAAAACACUUGCUUGUAGAUUUGGCGCCACUAUAUUUUAGGUCCAUGUUCUAACUGUCAAUAAUAUGGCACUACACUUGGUUUUAUCUCCUGUUUUUUAGAGUUCGAUGAAAAACUGCCACACCAAAGUUGGUUGCUUCUAGGUGCUAUUGUAUAGUGAAUGAUAACUGAUUUAUAGUCCUGAGAUGUUUAUUUGUGUUCUCUUCCCAAACAUAGCUACUGUUUUAAUUUUGAUUUGGUCGCUAUUAUGAUUGCUUAAGCUUCAUCAUGUUCCCUCUUCUUUUCAGAAAAAGAACAUUUAGCUUAUUCUUUGUGGUUGUCUAAUCUUCCAUAACCUCGGCUUGCGCAACCGUUGCAGUUGUCGUCACCUCUUCUUGGUUCAGGUGAGCCCUUGAUCUCCCUCCCUCUUUUUCACUGAGAUAGUCUGCCAAAUUUUGAAUGUUGAUUCAGUGUUCAGAUCUCCGGUGGUUUUCUUCUGGCCACCACAAUCAUGUGAGCUUGCUGGAUUUUUGUCCCUAUGAGCUGGCCGAAUUGAUUAUUUCAAAAUGGUAAGGAUUUUUGGCAGUCAAGGGCUUAGUUGGAUUGAAAAUGUGAAAUCUAAGCCCUUUGACAAAUUAAAUGUUGUC
rnacentral:lncRNA from 1 species